ACCAACAGCUACAAAAUAUUGAAGUCCCAACUUUUAAAUUUUAUAAAUCUAAGUAGUUUACAAUAAUUUACAAACAUGAGUUAGGUAUUUAUGUGAAAAUAUUUUAAAACCAUGAUCAUGAUCCCCUUCUAAAAGGUGGGAAAUCAAACAUAACCACUAAUGAAAAUUUUUAAUCCUGCUGGGGGCAACAGUAACAUUGUUUCAGCUAAAUUGUCAGGAAAGGCAAGUCCACUAGGAACAAGUUGAUAACAACCAGCAACAACAGUCUCAACUCUCUUUUUCCCCUCAUCCAGGCCCCUCCCAGGAAAAACCAUAGGCUUGGAUUUUGGAGGGAGUGGUCCAAAUAGUGUAUCUUCACAUAAAGAUUGAUUGAGAAUUUAAAGUGAUCAGAUCGCGGUGGAAGAAUCGGGAAGGGAAGAAUCAAUAUAUGGUGAGCUCAAGCAAAGUGGAUCAGGUGAGCCUAUGUACUUUAGUUUACUGGGUAUUCAAUUCAUGUCAUAAACGUGACAAUUUAUUUAAAAUUUUAAGGAAACUAUAAUAACUUAAAGAAUAAUUUAACAAUAAAGUGGUCUCUUACGCUGUCUUCUAGAAUGCAGACUGUAAAUCAGUGUAUGUAAAUGCCAUAAAUGUACAGCUUUUUUUUUUUAUUCAAAGUACUCUCAUUUCUUUGCAUUCUUCAUGUUUAAAUUUCUUCAAAAUUUCCUUGGCUACUUUUUGACAAAUGAAGGUUCCACAAGACUUGAGUUGCUUCUUGUCGCAAGGAGAUCAUCCACAUACAAUGAGAUGAAAAGAACAUUAUCACCCAAAAAAAAAAAAAAAAAGAUGACAAGAACAUUAGCUCCAUAUUUCUUGACAUAAUCUUGACCUUGACAAACUUUUAGAAAACCUGAAGUUCAGCUAAUGUUCAUCAAUUCCACUGUACCAAGCUUUUCAAGAUGAUUUCAACCCUUAAGGAACCUUCUUGAGAAGAUAAACAUCAUUUUGUCAUACCGUACAAAGUUUUGGGGUUACUUAACAUAAUUUUUUCCUUGUAAGAAACCAUUUAAAAAUACUGAUUUAACAUCAAGUUGAUAAACUCUCCGAUUCUUUUGAGCGACUCCAGCAAGUAGUGACAUGAUAAUGCCCAAUUGAGCAACUGAUGCAAACGUACCUUAGUAAUCCACACCAAAAACUAGAGCAUAGCCCUUCAUCACGAAUCUUGACUUAUGUUUAUUAAUAGAACCGUCAACAUUAAGCUUAGUUCUGCGUACCCAUUUGACCCCUAUAUCCAGGCUCGCUCGCACAUAUACAACAAACGUUGCAUCUGUCAUAAAUAUCAAAGAGCAGUCUAGUACUAAUUACCGGAUCAUCAUCAAAUAACUAAUUGGCCAAAUUUUAUCUUUAUUUUCUUCUGAACUUGAUGCAGAAAAAUUUAAGUCCAUAUAUUUAGAAGCUUGAUCUGUCUUAUUUGGAACACCGCAUUUCAAUUCUUCAUCUUCCACAAAGUGCACAUCCCUGCUAACAACAAUGUUCAGAUUUUAAAUAAAUACGACACUGAAUUCCAGCGCAUUAUCCUUUUAAAAGAGAGAGUAUUUAUUUACCAUCAGAUCUCUCUAAUACUCCAAAAGACAACGAAGACCACAACGAAGAACGAGCAGAAUAUAAUAAUGCCUGUCAAUGGCUUUAACAAGUUUUUCAAGAAUUUAAUAUUUCUCCCAUACAUCAUCAACCUUAUAAACCACGAGAUUUAUAUUUUAUAAGCAUCGAAAGUUGGCAAACAGGUCUUUAAGGUAAACAGAGAGAGGGAGAAGAGAGGGAUGUAUAUUUAGAACAAUGAUAUAUGGACACUGCCAUAUUACAAACUUAUUUUGACAGUUUUUAUUUUUCUAUAUUCCCUCUUCUUGUUACACCUAUAAUAUCUAUAAUUUUCUCUAAUAAAAUUAUAGAUAUUAUGAUAUUAACCUUUUGUACAAACUAAUAAAAGUCAUGUUAAGUAGGGUACUGAGAUGUUUCUAUUCAAUCAUAAUCAUUAUUAGGAAAACUAUCCAUAGACACCUAUUACUAGAUGCCACUUAUGUUAUAAAAAGACAAUGAUAAAAAUAGAAAUAAGUAAUCAUAGAUGUUAACAAAGUAUUUGAUAUAACAAAGUGUUUUGUUCUAGUAGUUAUAAAAAGAUACAAUGGGUUGAUAUGGUAUUUCCAAAUUCAACUUUAAACAUCGUUGAUGAGUUGUUGUGCUGAUAUAUCAUGUUGUUUAAGUUGAAAGUUGAUUGAAAUGA